rnacentral:rRNA from 1 species
UACGUAGGGAGCAAGCGUUGUCCGGAAUCAUUGGGCGUAAAGCGCGCGUAGGUGGCUUCGUAAGUCCGUUGUGAAAGUCAAAGGCUCAACCUUUGAAAGCCGAUGGAUACUGCGGAGCUAGAGUACGGAAGAGGCGAGUGGAAUUCCUGGUGUAGCGGUGGAAUGCGCAGAUAUCAGGAGGAACACCAACGGCGAAGGCAGCUCGCUGGGACGGUACUGACGCUAAGGCGCGAAAGCGUGGGGAGCGAACAGG